rnacentral:miRNA from 1 species
UCUACUGCCUCUACUAGUCCUUAUGUAUUAAGCACGCCCUUCCUUCUUGCUAUGCUAUGAAGAAUCCCCAGCCGUCUUUGCUUUGGUCUGCGAAUGCUACCUCUUCUACUGCCUUCUCAACGGGUAAUGAACCAAAGGCAGUGUCUGAACAAUCCGAGAUUGCCUUCGCCUUUUUCACUACCCCUUUUCAGGCACUUGGUUUAGUAGGUGCCAACUUUCUUUUCUACGAGUAAGCUUCCUAAUCCUCAUUCCUC